AUUGAACGCUGGCGGCAGGCUUAACACAUGCAAGUCGAGCGGGGGAAGGUAGCUUGCUACUGGACCUAGCGGCGGACGGGUGAGUAAUGCUUAGGAAUCUGCCUAUUAGUGGGGGACAACAUCUCGAAAGGGAUGCUAAUACCGCAUACGUCCUACGGGAGAAAGCAGGGGAUCUUCGGACCUUGCGCUAAUAGAUGAGCCUAAGUCGGAUUAGCUAGUUGGUGGGGUAAAGGCCUACCAAGGCGACGAUCUGUAGCGGGUCUGAGAGGAUGAUCCGCCACACUGGGACUGAGACACGGCCCAGACUCCUACGGGAGGCAGCAGUGGGGAAUAUUGGACAAUGGGGGGAACCCUGAUCCAGCCAUGCCGCGUGUGUGAAGAAGGCCUUAUGGUUGUAAAGCACUUUAAGCGAGGAGGAGGCUACUUUAGUUAAUACCUAGAGAUAGUGGACGUUACUCGCAGAAUAAGCACCGGCUAACUCUGUGCCAGCAGCCGCGGUAAUACAGAGGGUGCGAGCGUUAAUCGGAUUUACUGGGCGUAAAGCGUGCGUAG
rnacentral:rRNA from 1 species